GACGAACCGUGCGAACGUUGUUCGGAAUCACUGGGCUUAAAGGGCGCGUAGGCGGGCUCACAAGUCAGGGGUGAAAUCCCACGGCUCAACCGUGGAAGUGCCUUUGAUACUGUGGGUCUUGAGGGAGGUAGGGGCGUGCGGAACUUCCGGUGGAGCGGUGAAAUGCGUAGAUAUCGGAAGGAACACCGGUGGCGAAGGCGGCUUCCUGGACACUAACUGACGCUGAGACGCGAAAGCGUGGGGAGCAAACAGG
rnacentral:rRNA from 1 species